rnacentral:lncRNA from 1 species
AAUUUUUUUUUCUUUUUAAGAGACAGGUUCUCACUCUGUCACCCAUGCUAGUGGUAUGAUCAUAGCUCCCUGCAGCCUCCAAUUCCUGGGCUCAAGCAAUCCUUCUGCCUCAGCCUCCCAAGUAGCUGUGACUACAGGCAUGCACCUCCAUGCCCAGUUAACUUUUUACAUUUUUUACAGAGACAAGGAUCUUACUAUAUUACCCAGGCUGGUCUCAAACUCCUGACCUUCAAGUCAUCCUCCUGCCUCUGCCUCCAGAGUAGCUGGGAUUACAGAUAUGAGCCGCUACACCUGCCCCUUGCCAAAGGGUCCCAUCCACCAACCCCCUGGUGGAGCCUCACUUCGUCUGGAUGGCUGGAGGGGCCUGAAGCCAAGGAGAACAUGGAGAAACAGGCGAGUGCCCCCACACAGCAGCAUAGUUACCAAGUCCUGACUACCCACGGCCAUAAGGAGAGUACAGACCCUUGCGAUCCACCAAACUCCCAAACACGCAGCUGCUUUUCAGCCCAAACCCAGCCCCACCUGAAGCAGGCAUGCAGACAUUCGCUGACCACCUCAGCCUCCGCACAGCCAGUUCCAGGCAGUGGACUCCAGCCUGCAGACCUGGGCAGUCACUCAGGUAGCUAAGAAAUCCCCCGGACAAAACACUAGGUGGGGGCGUGGCAAGUGGGCAGUUGAGGGAACGUGGGUGAUGCGGUCAGGGUCCACUUACCAUUUGUUGUCACAGAACUUGUAGCGAUGGUCAUCGGCAGGGACAAUGUCAAUCAGCAGGAUAUACUUGGUCUUGGGGUUCAUGCCUGUGACUUUUACCUUGUAGCUGGGGAACAUCCUCCUGGGGGAGCCGAGGGGUGAGGCGGAGCGUGUGGACAGAGCACCAGGAGAGAUGGAACAGAGUGAGCAAGGGGGCAGAAGGCCGCUAACAGAUGCUGCCCUUUUGGCCAGCGAUCCUGGCAUUGGUCACAGCUGUGUGACCUGCACAACUCACUUCCCCCUCUGCCCGAGCUGCACAGUGAAAAGGUGGCACUGGCUGCUGUCUCUGAGCCCCUGCAGCUAUCAGUCUGUGUCUAGGAGGAGAGUUUACACCAUUUCCCAAAUUCACUUAUCCCCUCCCCCAUAAUCCCCUAAGACUUGGGGCUAGUGCCCAUGAGCAGCUGAAGCACAGAGACCCCAGUCAGGAUUGUGGGAGCAGAUUCUGACGCCAACCUUGCUGCCUUAAUUUCCCUCCUGUCCUUUGCCAGCCCACACACAAGUGAAGUUCUGGGGUGCAGUUAUAGGGGGACGGAAACCCCCGUCAGCUGCUUCCAUAAAUAAUGAGCUGCCUCCUCUGGGUCAUGCCUCUGUGGAAAUCCUUAGGCCUAAAACCAGCUUGCAGGAAAACAGGAGACUGCUGUCCAAAACCCUGCUAGGUUUGGGUUCUUCCAGUGUGUCUAUCGGGGGUACUUCUCCCUGUGAACACCUCACCUGGACCUGUGCACCCUGAGUAUCAGGGGAAAGUCGGUCCAGGAGCCUCAUGGAUAAGAGAGGGCAUGGAUUCUGAAACCACCUGCCAUGGUCACAGCCUGGACCCCACUGAUAAGCCUUAGGCAACUUGCUUGAACCUCUCUGUGCCUUGGUUUCCUUAUCUCUAAAAUGAGGAUAACAUUACCACCUAUCUCAUAGAUUGCUGCGUGAAUUACCACGGACCCCUGCUGCACUCCUCCCUCAGCAAAGUAAAUGGAGAAGUGGUAUGACCUACUUCUGUGAAAAUGGAUUCACCAAAACCCAGAAAGUUUGUCAUUUCCUGCAGCCCAUGCUGAGGCUGUCAAGGGCCCUGAGGUUCGAGGCACAUUCUAGAGGGGGCUUCCGCACACCCCUCAGCACAUACGCACACACAACAGCACAGCGCAUACACAAACGCUCUGGGCACAGCUCCCUCCCCUAGUCACUAGGUCCCUGACUUCACCAGAGGGAAGAACGGAACUUCCCACGAUCCUCCUCAGACUCCAUCCCCCACCCCAGCUGAUCUUCCACAAAGGUGUUCCCCAAGAGAAACAGGAUCCAAACCUAGCUGAAGACACAGUGAAGACACUAAGCCCCACUGAGCUGUGCCACUGCCCGGCUGGUCCACUCUGGGACAACCAUCAGGUGGUUCUCUGCCUCUCACUAACCCAAGACAGUACGGGACCCUGGAGAAGCUGUCCAAGAUGCCACAAACAGCUGAUCAGAGGCCCCUAUUUUGUCACCAGGGGCACCAGCUUACCUGGACAGAACAGGGCUUCCAGAAAGGAUCAAGGCCUCUAUAAGCUGGCGGGCCCUAAGCCCAGGCGAGGACCCCGACCGAGGUGGAGGGUUCACUUCCUUGCCAGCCCACGCCCCACCCAGCCCCGCCUGUGCCCCUCUCUUGCUGGAGGAGAGGCCUGUGCAAGCACUGCAGGGCGGGGACGUGGGGAUGUGGGGUGUGUGUGCCCAGGCGCAUGUGAGCGGUGUGCAAGUGCGCAUGUGUGGAUGUGUGCGUGCCUGGAGGGAGGAGGGAAGUUCUAGCUGCAAGUCUAGGGACUUAUAAACCUUGUGGAAGAAUUUGUCUCAGAUGUCAAUUGAAAGCAUUUUCAAAUACCCACCCCACCCCCUCUCCAGGAAUGGGGGAAGUGAGGGGCUCAGGAACCCAACCCUGCCUCCUGCUUACCAGCCCCCCUAUGGGGCCUGGGGGCGCAGCUGGAUCUUGCACCACCCUUUCCCGGCCCUGCCUCUCUCCUGGUGGGCCAACAGCUGAAGCAGGGAGGGCAGCAGCUGCCUCACCUCCCCCUUCCCUGGGGUAAGGCCAAGAAUCCCGCCCCCUGCAGGCCACCAUUUUGUAACUGCCACAGAAACAGCCACAAAAUGGGGCAGCCCUGGCCAUACUUGGGCUGGCCUGGCACCGGGGGCCUGCACUCAGCUUGUUUCCUGUCAUCAUUCCAGGUGGCAACAGCAGAGGGCAGCCAUGGCUUCCCUCCAGGGCCAGUGUCCACAUAGGGGGCCAGGAGCGAAGGGCUCACUGCCACUUUGGCACGCGUCAUAGCCUAGGCUGAGAGGAGGCUAAGGGGCCCUGGCCUUCCCCUCUCCUUCUCCCUGCUGGGCUUCAUUUCCACAGCCCAGGGGGCCAGGCUGACACUAACUAAGUGCUUUCUGGAAGGCCUUUGAGGAGCCUGUUCUCUGCAGCCCCAGCUGGUGUCUUGGGACCUGGCCCCUGCUGGAAGCUGAUCGUAGGCCAGAUUCCUGACUGAUAAGGAGAUGUGGGCGUCGGCACAGGGAAGGGGAGUACCUCCCAGCCUCGCCUCCCCUGCCCACCAAUUCCCCUCUACCUAAGGCAGCAGCGCUCAGAAGCCGAGGGACAGGGACGUAGGAUGUCUGGUCUGAAUGGGGAGUUCAAAAGCCCUCUGCUGUGGCCUGAACUGCCUCAGGGAGUUCCAUUGCCUUCAAUGCAACAGAUGUCUAGGUCUUGGCAGGGUCUAGUUGGGGGACUGCUUCUGAGCCAUGCAGAACCCACUCUGGGGUGGGGUGGGGGGCCCUAAGCACUACCGUUUCCCUGCCUAGGUGGCUCCAGAAGGAGGAAGGGUCCACCCAGCGUUGGGAAAGGGCUGCCUGUGAAAGUGAGGCCCCCUCUGUCCCCUCCAUUGGCUUCCUGCCCAGGUCGAGGGGAGAAUUCAAGGCCCCUUGGGCAUCUGCCCUUGGGUUCUUGAAGGGACUAAAGUUGGUGCCUAGACGCCUGACUUGGGGGUGUUCCCCAGCGUGGCAUGCCUCAGGCGACAGAGGCCAGGCUGGGUUUGGGAGCUGUGACUUCCUGUGAGCUCUGCCUCUCUCAUGAAAGGUUUGAAAUGAUGGAGUGAGAUGUAAAUUGUUUCUGUGAUUUAUGACAUAGAAUGUACCUGAAAACCAACACCCUACGGUGGAAAGCAACGCCUCCCUGUUUGUGUGUUGGGGUGGGGGAGGUGACCAAGAAGGAAGACACUGUGUGUGCCGCCUGUGUCCACGCAGGCCCUGCCACCAGCGCUGGCGGUGAAGCCCGCCUGUCCCGGGCACUCUGCGCUCUACCUCUGGGUCCGCCCCAGCCAGCCCCCUCCUUGCGCGCUCCCCCUCUCCCCUCCCUGCACCCUCUCCCUAUGCCCCCUACCCUCUCCCUGCUCCCACCCCGUCCUCCUGUCCCUCCCUCUUCCCAGCCCCUCGGCACGCUUUCC